ACCCUAAACGACGUCCAGGACACGCUUCGAGGUGAAUGUGGCCUGGAGCUGCCAGACGAGAUCGACAUCUCCUCCUACAUCGAGCAGUCCAGAUGAGUGACCAGCCCUUCCUCUCCAUCGGUGUAUUGUGUAUUUGAAGUAGAUGUACUUCACUUGAAAGCUCUGCCUGAUCCCUUGCUCACAAAACACUUUUAUUGUCAAUUUUUUGGCGACCAGGUGUGGUUGCUUUUAAUUUGUCUUUUACUGUUUUGUUUUGCUCAGUGAAAUUAAACCUUUUUAUAAAAUGCCA